GAACGCUGGCGGCGUGCUUAACACAUGCAAGUCGAGCGGUAAGGCCUUUCGGGGUACACGAGCGGCGAACGGGUGAGUAACACGUGGGUGACCUGCCCUCAGCUCUGGGAUAAGCCUGGGAAACUGGGUCUAAUACCGGAUAUGACCUCUCAUCGCAUGGUGGGUGGUGGAAAGUUUUUCGGCUGGGGAUGGGCCCGCGGCCUAUCAGCUUGUUGGUGGGGUGAUGGCCUACCAAGGCGACGACGGGUAGCCGGCCUGAGAGGGCGACCGGCCACACUGGGACUGAGACACGGCCCAGACUCCUACGGGAGGCAGCAGUGGGGAAUAUUGCGCAAUGGGCGGAAGCCUGACGCAGCGACGCCGCGUGGGGGAUGACGGCCUUCGGGUUGUAAACCUCUUUCGCCAGGGACGAAGCGCAAGUGACGGUACCUGGAUAAGAAGCACCGGCCAACUACGUGCCAGCAGCCGCGGUAAUACGUAGGGUGCGAGCGUUGUCCGGAAUUAUUGGGCGUAAAGAGCUCGUAGGCGGUCUGUCGCGUCGGUCGUGAAAACCUGCAGCUUAACUGUGGGCUUGCGGUCGAUACGGGCAUGACUGGAGUUCGGCAGGGGAGACUGGAAUUCCUGGU
rnacentral:rRNA from 1 species